AAUGAACGCUUGCGGCGUGGAUUAGGCAUGCAAGUCGAACGAGAUUGUAUUAAUUCAAUUCUUCGGAAGAGAAUUUUUACAUGAUAGUGGCGAACGGGUGAGGAAUACUUGAGUAAUGUGCCCCUAAGCUUGGAAUAGCCACUGGAAACGGUGAUUAAUGCCAAAUGUGAUCGUCCCUUGCAUAAGGGACUGUUUAAAGGCAGGGAUCCUUCGGGACCUGUCACUUAGGGAUCAGCUCGAGGCCUAUCAGCUUGUUGGUGAGGUAAUGGCUCACCAAGGCUAAGACGGGUAGCUGGUCUGAGAGGAUGGUCAGCCACACUGGGACUGAGACACUGCCCAG
rnacentral:rRNA from 1 species